rnacentral:rRNA from 1 species
UACGGGGGGGCAAGCGUUGUUCGGAAUUACUGGGCGUAAAGGGCUCGGUAGGCGGCCAACUAAGUCGGGAUGUGAAAUCCCUAGGCCUUAACCUGGGAACUGGCAUCCGAUACUGGAUGGCUUGAAUCCGGGAGAGGGAUGCAGAAUUCCAGGUGUAGCGGUGAAAUGCGUAGAUAUCGAGAGGAACACCUGCGGCGAAGGCGGGUUGCUGGGCUGACACUGACGCUGAUGCGCGAAAGCCAGGGGAGCGAACGGG